UGUUUGUCUCUUUUUCAUUGUGCAUAGUAUUCGCCUUGAUGUUCGCUAGUUUUUUUAAUCAAAAUUUUGGGUCAUCUGACCAUUUUAUUUAAUAAGUUGCCCAAUUGGCAAAAUCCAAACAAACAAAAAAAAAAAUGGAUCAGCCCAAAGUAGUGACCUAGUCCAAAAAAUAAUAAGAAGCUGAAAAAUUUCCUAUUUUUCUAUAAAUAUCUGAACAUAGUGUCCUAACCAAUCUUCCUCCAUACUCUUUGCCUCCUAGGAGCUGAACCAUGCUGCUAAGAGUAUUGCCGGAGGAAUCUAAAAUUGUACUUCCUUCUCCUUUGGAUAGUGUACCAGCUUGAGCCUCUCCAUUCGACGUCUGAGAUCUAUCUAUCUGCCUCACUGUUGCUUGGUAACAUCUUAAUCUUACUCACUCUUCUCUUCUUGUAUUUUAACUCUAACCCUGGCUUUGAUUGUAUAAAUGGUUGAGGUUUUACCUCCUAUGGACAGUAGGACACCAGUUCUACUAGAUUUGUAAAUCUUAACUCAGUUUAUCUGCCUCUACAGGUGGUGGUUCAAGAUAGUGCCAUCUCACAAACCCUCUAUUUUGGUGAAGGUUUAUGAUAUCUAGAGCAAUUAUUCUUAGCUUGUAGUUGCACAAUUAUAAUGUCUUCUUUCGGGCAUGCUCUUAAUCUCUCUUUACUGUAUUGAUGUUCCUUGGUGACUGUGGAUUUGUAAUUAUUUCUAUUUCCUCUUGCAUGUUGGAUUAUGAAUGUUUCUUCUGAUUUCAUAUGUUUCCAAGCCAUCUUUUUAUUGCUCA